AGUGAACGCUGGCGGUAGGCCUAACACAUGCAAGUCGAACGGCAGCACAGUAAGAGCUUGCUCUUACGGGUGGCGAGUGGCGGACGGGUGAGGAAUACAUCGGAAUCUACUUUUUCGUGGGGGAUAACGUAGGGAAACUUACGCUAAUACCGCAUACGACCUACGGGUGAAAGCAGGGGAUCUUUGGAGCUUGCGGGAUUGAAUGAGCCGAUGUCGGAUUAGCUAGUUGGCGGGGUAAAGACUCACCAAGGCGACGAUCCGUAGCUGGUCUGAGAGAAUGAUCAGCCACACUGAAACUUAAACACAGUCCAGACUCCUACGGAAGGCAGCAGUCGGGAAUAUUGGACAAUAGGCGCAAACCUGAUCCAACCAUACCGCGUGGGUGAAGAAGGCCUUCGGGUUGUAAAGCCCUUUUGUUGGGAAAGAAAAGCAGCAGGUUAAUACCCCGCUGUUCUGACGGUACCCAAAGAAUAAGCACCGGCUAACUUCGUG
rnacentral:rRNA from 1 species